rnacentral:rRNA from 1 species
AUAAGAGGUCCAGCCUGCCCAGUGACAAAGUUCAACGGCCGCGGUAAACUAACCGUGCGAAGGUAGCAUAAUCACUCGUUCUUUAAAUAAGGACUUGUAUCAACGGCAUCACGAGGGUUGCACUGUCUCCUUUUUCUAAUCAGUGAAACUGAUCUCCCCGUGAAGAAGCGGGGAUACCAAUACAAGACGAGAAGACCCCAUGGAGCUUUAAACCCACAGCAACUCAAUAAUAUAACCCUCAAAAUCAUAGAGAACUGCACGUCGGCUUUAGGUUGGGGUGACCACGGAGCAAAAAUUAACCUCCAUGACGAAAAGAACUAAAUCUUUAUCUAAGGGCCACAACCCUAAGAAUUAGUAUACUAACGUGAAAUGACCCAAUAAUGAUCAACGGACCAAGUUACCCUGGGGAUAACAGCGCAAUCUACUUCAAGAGCCCCUAUCGACAAGUAGGCUUACGACCUCGAUGUUGGAUCAGGGUACCCCAGUGGUGCAGCCGCUACUAAAGGUUCGUUU